rnacentral:rRNA from 1 species
CAGCAGUGGGGAAUCUUGGACAAUGGGCGCAAGCCUGAUCCAGCCAUGCCGCGUGAGUGAUGAAGGCCCUAGGGUCGUAAAGCUCUUUCGCCAGGGAUGAUAAUGACAGUACCUGGUAAAGAAACCCCGGCUAACUCCGUGCCAGCAGCCGCGGUAAUACGGAGGGGUUAGCGUUGUUCGGAAUUACUGGGCGUAAAGCGCGCGUAGGCGGAUUAGUCAGUUAGAGGUGAAAUCCCAGGGCUCAACCCUGGAACUGCCUUUAAUACCGCUAGUCUUGAGUUCGAGAGAGGUGAGUGGAAUUCCGAGUGUAGAGGUGAAAUUCGUAGAUAUUCGGAGGAACACCAGUGGCGAAGGCGGCUCACUGGCUCGAUACUGACGCUGAGGUGCGAAAGUGUGGGGAGCAAACAGGAUUAGAUACCCUGGUAG